rfam:Dehalogenimonas formicexedens strain NSZ-14 chromosome, complete genome.
GGGCCGCUAGCUCAGUUGGUAGAGCACCUGACUUUUAAUCAGGUUGUGCUGGGUUCGAGCCCCAGGCGGCUCA